GGGCUCAUGGUCUAGUGGUAUGACAUCGCUCUCACACAGCGAAGGCCGCCGGUUCGAAUCCGGCUGAGCCCA
rnacentral:tRNA from 1 species